rnacentral:tRNA from 1 species
GGCUCUGUAGUGAAGUUCAUAUUGAGUUGCAAGCUCAUUGAUGUACAUUUAAAGUGUACCGGGGCCU